rnacentral:rRNA from 1 species
AUGAAAGCGCGAGAAGGGCACACGGUGGAUGCCUUGGCGUCAAGAGGCGAUGAAGGACGUGGCACGCUGCGAAAAGCUUCGGGGAGUUGCGAGCAUACUUUGAUCCGGAGAUAUCCGAAUGGGGAAACCCAACAGCCCAUGUGGCUGUUAUCGUACACUGAAUACAUAGGUGUGCGAAGCGAACGCGGGGAACUGAAACAUCUAAGUACCCGUAGGAAAAGAAAUCAACCGAGAUUCCGUUAGUAGCGGCGAGCGAAAGCGGAUUAGGCCAGCGUCAUCAACUGGUCAUGUAUUAGUCGAACAGCUCUGGAAAGGGCGACCAUAGACGGUGAUAGUCCGGUAGGCGAAAGUGCAUGAUCAGGGGGCGCAUUGAGUAGGACGGGACACGUGAAACCCUGUCUGAAGAUGGGAGGACCUCCUUCCAAGCCUAAAUACUCCUUGACGACCGAUAGUGAACCAGUACCGUGAGGGAAAGGUGAAAAGGACCCCGAUAAGGGGAGUGAAAUAGAUCCUGAAACCGUGUGCUUACAAGCAGUGGGAGGGCGGUGUUUCGUACUGCCUGACCGCGUACCUUUUGUAUAAUGGGUCAGCGAGUUGAUUUACACAGCAUAGCUUAAGCCGAGAGGUGUAGGCGUAGCGAAAGCGAGUCUGAACAGGGCGACGAGUUGUGUGGAUCAGACCCGAAACCGGGUGAUCUAUCCAUGGGCAGGGUGAAGGUGCGGUAACACGCACUGGAGGCCCGAACCCACCUAUGUUGAAAAAUGGGGGGAUGACUUGUGGAUAGGAGUGAAAGGCUAAACAAACCCGGAGAUAGCUGGUUCUCCCCGAAAACUAUUUAGGUAGUGCCUUGUGUAUGUCUGACGGGGGUAGAGCACUGGAUGGGCUAGGGGGGCUUACCGCCUUACCAAACCUAACCAAACUCCGAAUACCGUCAAGGCGAGCACAGGAGACAGACUGCGGGUGCUAAGGUCCGUAGUCGAAAGGGAAACAGCCCAGAUCGCCAGCUAAGGUCCCCAAAUCAGGUUUAAGUGGCAAAGGAAGUGGAAAUGCCCAGACAGCCAGGAGGUUGGCUUAGAAGCAGCCAUCCUUUAAAGAAAGCGUAAUAGCUCACUGGUCGAGUGGGUCUGCGCCGAAAAUAUAACGGGGCUAAAAACCUGUACCGAAGCUGCGGAUGUGUGAGUCUUUCGGGACUCAUACGUGGUAGGGGAGCGUUCUGUAAGCCUGUGAAGCCGUACCGAGAGGAGCGGUGGAGGUAUCAGAAGUGAGAAUGCUGACAUGAGUAGCGCUGAAACAGGUGAGAAACCUGUUCGCCGUAAACCCAAGGUUUCCUGCGCAAGGGUAUUCCGCGCAGGGUUAGUCGGUCCCUAAGGCGAGGCUUUUAGAGCGUAGCCGAUGGGAAGCCGGUCAAUAUUCCGGCACCGUUUUCAACUGCGAAGGGGGGACGGAGAAGGGUAGACCUACCGGGCGGUGGUUGUCCCGGGUUAAGCGUUUAGGCGGGAGUUGUUGGUAAAUCCGCGACUCCAUAACGCUGAGGCGUGACGACGAGUCUUCUUGAAGACGAAGUGGUUGAUCCCAAGCUUCCAAGAAAAUCCUCUAAGCAUCAGGUUGAGAAUGACCGUACCCCAAACCAACACAGGUGGGUGGGAAGAGCAUUCCAAGGCGAGUGAGAGAACCUGGGUGAAGGAACUCGGCAAAAUGGCCCCGUAACUUCGGGAGAAGGGGUGCCCCUAUUAGGUGAAGCGACUUGCUCGUGGAGCUGAAAGGGGUUGCAGUGAAAUGGGGGGAGCGACUGUUUACCAAAAACACAGGACUCUGCGAAGUCGGAAGACGAAGUAUAGGGUCUGACGCCUGCCCGGUGCCGGAAGGUUAAGAGGAGGGGUGCAAGCUCUGAAUCGAAGCCCCGGUAAACGGCGGCCGUAACUAUAACGGUCCUAAGGUAGCGAAAUUCCUUGUCGGGUAAGUUCCGACCUGCACGAAUGGCGUAACGAUUUCCCCGCUGUCUCCACCCAGGACUCAGCGAAAUUGAAGUUGCCGUGAAGAUGCGGCAUACCCGCGGCAAGACGGAAAGACCCCGUGAACCUUUACUAUAGCUUUGCAUUGGCACUAGAGUCAGUUUGUGUAGGAUAGGUGGGAGGCAUUGAAGCGGAGGCGCCAGCCUUCGUGGAGUCAACCUUGAAAUACCACCCUGAUUGGCUUUGGUGUCUAACCUCGACCCGUUAUCCGGGUUCGGGACAGUGCAUGGUGGGUAGUUUGGCUGGGGCGGUCGCCUCCCAAAGAGUAACGGAGGCGCGCUAUGGUUCGCUCAGGUUGGUCGGACAUCAACCGUAGAGUGCAAAGGCAUAAGCGAGCCUGACUGCGAGACCGACAGGUCGAGCAGGGACGAAAGUCGGCCUUAGUGAUCCGGCGAUUCCGAGAGGAAGGGUCGUCGCUCAACGGAUAAAAGGUACUCCGGGGAUAACAGGCUGAUCUCCCCCAAGAGUUCACAUCGACGGGGAGGUUUGGCACCUCGAUGUCGGCUCAUCGCAUCCUGGGGCUGAAGCAGGUCCCAAGGGUUUGGCUGUUCGCCAAUUAAAGCGGUACGCGAGCUGGGUUCAGAACGUCGUGAGACAGUUCGGUCCCUAUCUGCCGUGGGCGCAGGAAAAUUGAGAGGAUCCGCUUCUAGUACGAGAGGACCGAAGUGGACGUACCUCUGGUGUACCGGUUGUUCUGCCAAGAGCACCGCCGGGUAGCUACGUACGGAAGGGAUAACCGCUGAAGGCAUCUAAGCGGGAAACCCACCUCGAGAUGAGUUUUCCCUAUGAGACCCGUGGGAGACCACCACGUUGAUAGGCCGGGUGUGGAAGCGUGGCAACACGUGAAGCUGACCGGUACUAAUUGGUCCAUUGGCUUUUAUAC